rnacentral:rRNA from 1 species
UACGGGGGGAGCAAGCGUUGUUCGGAUUUACUGGCGUAAAGGGCGCGUAGGCGGCCAGCACAAGUCAGUUGUGAAAUCUCCGAGCUUAACUCGGAACGGUCAACUGAUACUGUGCGGCUAGAGUGCGGAAGGGGCAACUGGAAUUCUUGGUGUAGCGGUGAAAUGCGUAGAUAUCAAGAGGAACACCUGCGGCGAAGGCGGGUUGCUGGGCCGACACUGACGCUGAUGCGCGAAAGCCAGGGGAGCGAACGGG